ACACGGGCCCUGACACAAACACGAGCCCUGUUCCAAACGGCGCACUCCGGUCUUGUGGACCUCCUCCGAGUCCACACUUGAUGACGUCAGGAAGUGCAGACCUAUAGGGCACUAGAAGCUGUGUUGUUCAGCCUUACAGAGCCCAGAGCAGGGGCGUAGCCAGAACUUUUUUUAGCGGUGGCCAGGAUAUGUGAAACAACUAUCCUUGAAAGAGGGGGCAAUACCAACCUUAUUUGGACCUGUUAGCUCCACCGAAUCACAACCUGUAAGUGUGACUAUUUAUUUUUGUCUUAACUUCAAGAAAUAUUUGUGUACCUUAUGUCUGUGUUUAGCUAAUGCGUAUAACGCUAUCAUUAGCAUUUACCGUUAUUUAUGGGGUAUUACAGUUUGUUUAUCUUGCUAUUAACUCGGCUAAUUUAAUUGUCCAAUCUAUUAACUCUCAAAGUAUUUAUUUCAAAAACUGAGUCGAGUACUAUCUGUAUUGUAAUAACAUCUGAAGAUACGAACACCGAACACUGUAUGCCGUGUCAAUUAGUCCAAGACACAUGAUGAACGCGUUUGACCAAUCACAACAGACUACACCAUCUGACCAAUCACAUGACACUAGGCUAGCGGAUAGGAGGGGACUAGACGGAUGAAUCGCGGAACGAAUCAUUUGAGAGUCAGACAAGAAGUAUGGUAAGAAUAACUGCCUAUUAUUAUGACAUAAUAGUGUUUUUACACCUUGUAUGUACAUAAACUUGUUGUUGGACACUCCAUAAACCAAAGUAAGACCUUAAAAAUCAUAUGCUACUUACACUUUAAAACUUAUUCGCACAACAGAGGUGGCCAGAUAGGUGGCCAUCCAUCAUUCAGGGGUAGCCGUGGCCACCCGUGGCCACCCAUGGCCACCAUGUAGCUACGCCCCUGGCCAGAGACAACUAGAUAUACUGUAAAUCUACAACAAAACAUGGUUUAUUACCUUAAGUAAGAAAAUGCACUGCAUUAAAAUAUUGUAUUCUUGAAUAGCUGGCUUAAUAGAAAAUAAAUAAGCAAUAAUACGAAUAAGUAACUAAUUAAUAAAUUAAAUAAAAAAUGUAUCCGUCAUGUUUACGUAUAUGUCUGACAUCCACGACACUCCUCCCAUCCGUUCUGUGAUUGGGCGCUCGCAAGGAUUCCUGGGUAGGGAUACUUCAGUGGAGUCUGCAUCAAUGCGGGCUUCGCCGAAGACCGCAUCGAGGGCACAAAGGAGGCGUUCGCGAGCAGACUUCUGAGCACUAAAAAGACAAAUGGGACACCCUACGGACUCGUAGACUUGGCGAGAACGCGCAAUUUAAGUCCACGAGACCUCAAGUCCACAUGAAGUGCGCCAUUUGGGACAGGGCCACGGACGUUAAGAACACUUAAAAGUGAAAGUGGCCUGUCUGACAUGAUACCCAUUUGGAAUCGAAUUUGCGAUCUUCGGGUGAUUUUAGCGCAAUUUAAGCUAACUAAUGGACUUGUGCCUAGUUCCACACAUCUCGGAUUCAGGACAUUUUCCACUUCAAGCCAGCAAACAUUGUUGUAAUGCUUUAAAUGUUUUAAUAUUACUAAAUACUUUAAAAGUUACUAAAUUCAGAUGUUAUGUCCAGGUUUGAAGUGGAAACUAUUCUAAUACCGAGUUGUCUGGAACGCAGCAUUGGUACACCGUUCAACGCGCACCUGCAUAUUAUUUAUGAAUAAAAUACUGAUAAAAACAACAAUACAUAAUAUGUAUUGGAUAUAAAUUUAACGUUGAAUACAUUAUUUCUUAUGAAUUGACUUAAAUAAAUAAGAAAAAUAAAUAAAUACAUA